GGAGGAGCCUGCCAGCCUUCCCACCUCUGUUCCCCUUUGCAUUCUUGGCCUUACAACAAACAGCACUUCCUGUGGUUAUUCUCUUGGCUGUGUCCUGUCCCCACCUCCGUUCUCACCAGUGGAGUGCUGAGAUUACAGAUGUUCGUUCAUGCCUUACCUAUGUCACAGGGAACUGAAGGCAGCACGCUUGUAUGACAGACCUAGUACCCCAUUGAGCCAUCUCAUCUGUCUCUCCAUCCAUCCACCCACCUACCUUUCUGUUUUUCUCUUGGUGGUCUCAGGGUUAUUCUUUCCCAAUCAGCAAGGACCCCAGCACUCCUACAGUGAGAAGCGAGAAGGCUUGCUAUGCUGGACCACACAAUGGAAACAAGAUGGGCCCUGUCUCAGCAAGGGAAGAGAGAACAGACUCCCAAAGUUGUCCUCUGACCGCCACAGCCAUGCCAAGGCACACUCACCUGCACGACAAGCACACGGAAUUGGUUAAUGUUUUAAUUGGAGAGAUGGCUGAGUUGAUAAAACGCCUGAGGACCUGAGUUUGACUCCCCAGCAUCAGGAUCAAGAUGUAGAACUCUGGCUCCUCCAUCACCAAGUCUGCCUGCACGCUGCCAUGCUUCCUGCCAUGAUGAUAAUGGACUAAACCUCCGAAACGGUAAGCCAGCCCCAAU
rnacentral:lncRNA from 1 species